GUCGGCGGUGGUUGGGUGGUAAGAUGGCGGCUGUGAGUCUGCGGCUCGGCGACUUGGUGUGGGGGAAACUCGGCCGAUAUCCUCCUUGGCCAGGAAAGAUUGUUAAUCCACCAAAGGACUUGAAGAAACCUCGCGGAAAGAAAUGCUUCUUUGUGAAAUUUUUUGGAACAGAAGAUCAUGCCUGGAUCAAAGUGGAACAGCUGAAGCCAUAUCAUGCUCAUAAAGAGGAAAUGAUAAAAAUUAACAAGGGUAAACGAUUCCAGCAAGCGGUAGAUGCUGUCGAAGAGUUCCUCAGGAGAGCCAAAGGGAAAGACCAGACGUCAUCCCACAAUUCUUCUGAUGACAAGAAUCGACGUAAUUCCAGUGAGGAGAGAAGUAGGCCAAACUCAGGUGAUGAGAAGCGCAAACUUAGCCUGUCUGAAGGGAAGGUGAAGAAGAACAUGGGAGAAGGAAAGAAGAGGGUGUCUUCAGGCUCUUCAGAGAGAGGCUCCAAAUCCCCUCUGAAAAGAGCCCAAGAGCAAAGUCCCCGGAAGCGGGGUCGGCCCCCAAAGGAUGAGAAGGAUCUCACCAUCCCGGAGUCUAGUACCGUGAAGGGGAUGAUGGCCGGACCGAUGGCCGCGUUUAAAUGGCAGCCAACCGCAAGCGAGCCUGUUAAAGAUGCAGAUCCUCAUUUCCAUCAUUUCCUGCUAAGCCAAACAGAGAAGGAAACUGGCUCCACCUCCAUCCAGGCAGCUGACAGCACAGCCGUGAAUGGCAGCAUCACACCCACAGACAAAAAGAUAGGAUUUUUGGGCCUUGGUCUCAUGGGAAGUGGAAUCGUCUCCAACUUGCUAAAAAUGGGUCACACAGUGACUGUCUGGAACCGCACUGCAGAGAAAUGUGAUUUGUUCAUCCAGGAGGGGGCCCGUCUGGGAAGAACCCCCGCUGAAGUCGUCUCAACCUGCGACAUCACUUUCGCCUGCGUGUCGGAUCCCAAGGCGGCCAAGGACCUGAUAGAAAUCAGGAAAUGAGCCAAAACAGCAGCAGGAUUCUGAUCUGAGGUCUGUAGGGCUCCUGAGCAUCUGCCCGGGAGCCUGGGCUAUUGCUUCUCCCUUGUGUCCCCACAGCUGGUGCUGGGCCCCAGUGGUGUGCUGCAAGGGAUCCGCCCUGGGAAGUGCUACGUGGACAUGUCAACAGUGGACGCUGACACCGUCACUGAGCUGGCCCAGGUGAUUGUGUCCAGGGGGGGGCGCUUUCUGGAAGCCCCCGUCUCAGGGAAUCAGCAGCUGUCUAAUGACGGGAUGUUGGUGAUCUUAGCGGCUGGAGACAGGGGCUUAUAUGAGGACUGCAGCAGCUGCUUCCAGGCGAUGGGGAAGACCUCCUUCUUCCUAGGUGAAGUGGGCAAUGCAGCCAAGAUGAUGCUGAUCGUGAACAUGGUCCAAGGGAGCUUCAUGGCCACUAUUGCCGAGGGGCUGACCCUGGCCCAGGUGACAGGCCAGUCCCAGCAGACACUCUUGGACAUCCUCAAUCAGGGACAGUUGGCCAGCAUCUUCCUGGACCAGAAGUGCCAAAAUAUCCUGCAAGGAAACUUUAAGCCUGAUUUCUACCUGAAAUACAUUCAGAAGGAUCUCCGCUUAGCCAUUGCGCUGGGUGAUGCGGUCAACCAUCCGACUCCCAUGGCAGCUGCAGCAAAUGAGGUGUACAAAAGAGCCAAGGCGCUGGACCAGUCUGACAACGAUAUGUCCGCCGUGUACCGAGCCUACAUACACUAAGCUGUCGACACCCCGCCCUCACCCCUCCAAUCCCCCCUCUGACCCCCUCUUCCUCACAUGGGGUCGGGGGCCUGGGAGUUCAUUCUGGACCAGCCCACCUAUCUCCAUUUCCUUUUAUACAGACUUUGAGACUUGCCAUCAGCACAGCACACAGCAGCACCCUUCCCCUGAGGCCGGUGGGGAGGGGACAAGUGUCAGCAGGAUUGGCGUGUGGGAAAGCUCUUGAGCUGGGCACUGGCCCCCCGGACGAGGUGGCUGUGUGUUCACACACACACACACACACACACACACACACACACACAGGCUCUCGCCCCAGGAUAGAAGCUGCCCAGAAACUGCUGCCUGGCUUUUUUUCUUCCGAGCUUGUCUUAUCUCAAACCCCUUCCAGUCAAGGAACUAGAAUCAGCAACGAGAGUUGGAAGCCUUCCCACAGCUUCCCCCAGAGCGAAGAGGCUGUAGUCAUGUCCCCAUCCCCCACUGGAUUCCCUACAAGGAGAGGCCUUGGGCCCAGAUGAGCCAGUACAGACUCCAGACAGAGGGGCCCUUGGGGCCCUCCAACCUCAGGUGAUGAGCUGAGAAAGAUGUUCACGUCUAAGCGUCCAGUGUGCACCCAGCGCUCCAUAGACGCCUUUGUGAACUGAAAAGAGACUGGCAGAGUCCCGAGAAGAUGGGGCCCUGGCUUUCCAGGGAGUGCAGCAAGCAGCCGGCCUGCAGGUGAGCAUGGAGGCCCGGCCCUCACCGCCUCGAAGCCAUGCCCCAGAUGCCACUGCCACAGCGGGCGCUCGCUCCUCCCUAGGCUGUUUUAGUAUUUGGAUUUGCAUUCCAUCCCUUGGGAGGGAGUCCUCAGGGCCACUAGUGAUGAGCCAAGAGGAGUGGGGGUUGGGGGCGCUCCUUUCUGUUUCCGUUAGGCCACAGACUCUUCACCUGGCUCUGAAGAGCCACUCUUACCUCGGUCCCCUCCCAGUGGUCCCACCUUCUCCACCCUGCCCUGCCAAGUCCCCUGCAUGCCCACCGCUCUCCAUCCUCCCUCCUCUCCCUCUUCCUCCCGUGGAGACAGUAUUUCUUUCUGUCUGUCCCUUUGGCCCAGACCCAGCCUGACCAACGAUGAGCAUUUCUUAGGCUCAGCUCUUGAUACGGAAACGAGUGUCUUCACUCCAGCCAGCAUCAUGGUCUUCGGUGCUUCCCGGGCCCGGGGUCUGUCGGGAGGGAAGAGAACUGGGCCUGACCUACCUGAACUGACUGGCCCUCCGAGGUGGGUCUGGGACAUCCUAGAGGCCCUACAUUUGUCCUUGGAUAGGGGACCGGGGGGGGCUUGGAAUGUUGCAAAAAAAAAAGUUACCCAAGGGAUGUCAGUUUUUUAUCCCUCUGCAUGGGUUGGAUUUUCCAAAAUCAUAAUUUGCAGAAGGAAGGCCAGCAUUUACGAUGCAAUAUGUAAUUAUAUAUAGGGUGGCCACACUAGGGCGGGGUCCUUCCCCCCUCACAGCUUUGGCCCCUUUCAGAGAUUAGAAACUGGGUUAGAGGAUUGCAGAAGACGAGUGGGGGGAGGGCAGGGAAGAUGCCUGUCGGGUUUUUAGCACAGUUCAUUUCACUGGGAUUUUGAAGCAUUUCUGUCUGAACACAAAGCCUGUUCUAGUCCUGGCGGAACACACUGGGGGUGGGGGCGGGGGAAGAUGCGGUAAUGAAACCGGUUAGUCAAUUUUGUCUUAAUAUUGUUGACAAUUCUGUAAAGUUCCUUUUUAUGAAUAUUUCUGUUUAAGCUAUUUCACCUUUCUUUUGAAAUCCUUCCCUUUUAAGGAGAAAAUGUGACACUUGUGAAAAAGCUUGUAAGAAAGCCCCUCCCUUUUUUCUUUAAACCUUUAAAUGACAAAUCUAGGUAAUUAAGGUUGUGAAUUUUUAUUUUUGCUUUGUUUUUAAUGAACAUUUGUCUUUCAGAAUAGGAUUGUGUGAUAAUGUUUAAAUGGCAAAAACAAAACAUGAUUUUGUGCAAUUAACAAAGCUACUGCAAGAAAAAUAAAACACUUCUUGGUAACACA